rnacentral:rRNA from 1 species
AUUGAACGCUGGCGGCAGGCCUAACACAUGCAAGUCGAGCGGAUGAGUGAAGCUUGCUCCAUGAUUCAGCGGCGGACGGGUGAGUAAUGCCUAGGAAUCUGCCUGGUAGUGGGGGACAACGUUUCGAAAGGAACGCUAAUACCGCAUACGUCCUACGGGAGAAAGUGGGGGAUCUUCGGACCUCACGCUAUCAGAUGAGCCUAGGUCGGAUUAGCUAGUUGGUGAGGUAAAGGCGCACCAAGGCGACGGUCCGUAACUGGGCUGAUAGGAUGAUCAGUCACACUGGAACUGAGACACGGUCCAGACUCCUACGGGAGGCAGCAGUGGGGAAUAUUGGACAAUGGGCGAAAGCCUGAUCCAGCCAUGCCGCGUGUGUGAAGAAGGUCUUCGGAUUGUAAAGCACUUUAAGUUGGGAGGAAGGGCAGUAAGUUAAUACCUUGCUGUUUUGACGUUACCAACAGAAUAAGCACCGGCUAACUUCGUGCCAGCAGCCGCCGUAAGAC